CCUACGGGUGACAGCAGUGAGGAAUAUUGGUCAAUGGACGAGAGUCUGAACCAGCCAAGUAGCGUGAAGGAUGACUGCCCUAUGGGUUGUAAACUUCUUUUAUAUGGGAAUAAAAUGUUCAGCGUGUGGGAUUUUGUAUGUACCAUAUGAAUAAGGAUAGGCGAACUCCGUGCCAGCAGCCGCGGUAAUACGGAGGAUCCGAGCAUUAUCCGGAUUUUUUGGGGUUAAAGGGAGCGUAGGUGGAUUUUUAAGUCAGUUGUUAAAGUUUGCGGCUCAAACGUAAGAUUGCAGUUGAAACUGGCAGUCUUGAGUACAGUAGAGGAGAGCGGAAUUCGUGGUGUAGCGGUGAAAUGCUUAGAUAUCACGAAGAACUCCGAUGGCGAAGGCAGCUCACUGGACUGCAACUGACACUGAGGCUCGAAAGUGUGGGUAUCAAACAGGAUUAGAUACCCUAGUAGUC
rnacentral:rRNA from 1 species